rnacentral:rRNA from 1 species
CACGUAGGGUGCGAGCGUUGUCCGGAAUUAUUGGGCGUAAAGAGCUCGUAGGCGGUGUGUCGCGUCGGCCGUGAAAACCUGCAGCUUAACUGUGGGCGUGCGGUCGAUACGGGCAUCACUGGAGUUCGGCAGGGGAGACUGGAAUUCCUGGUGUAGCGGUGAAAUGCGCAGAUAUCAGGAAGAACACCCGUGGCGAAGGCGGCUCUCUGGGACGGUACUGACGCUGAGACGCGAAAGCGUGGGGAGCAAACAGG